UAAGCCAAUGAACUAUCUGCCUUGGCAGUUCCGGUGUCCCGUUUCAAGUUUUGAAUUCACAAACGAAGCGCCCAUUCUAGUGCCGUCGUCUUGUAGCGAGUGUAAAGGAAGGAAAAUUCAUAGGCCUAAGAAAAUUUGCCAAGUCACAGUGAAGUAAAAAUCACCAGUCCUGAGCUGCAGUAUGUGCUACCUGCCAACAUACCAGUACUUUCUAUGGAGGCAUUAUAAUAAUUUUGAUCAGUUCUUGAAGAUGGUCUUGUGCAAACAAUUGUAUUUUCAAGCCUUGAAA
rnacentral:lncRNA from 1 species